UAUUUACAAAUAGGAAACCGUUUUUUGGGCCGCUGUAUAUCACAUGAAACUGACUGAUCUUUGAGAAGCUCUUUGAGAUUUGUCUUCCUAAGAUAAGUGCUAUGUAAGUAACUAUCCUUGUUUAUUAUAAAUGGCCACACAACCCCAUAAUAAAGUCCUAAAAUGGAAAGAUUGAUUGACUCCACCCACUCAGCCAGGACAUGAACAUGAGCUGUGUGUUCAUUAGGCUUCAUAAAAAAAUAUUUCUGGCAUUUAGCUGUCUACGUUUAAACUGGAACGUUAGCCGUAGCGAGCACAGGGAGCCUUAGGGCUGGUGUCCUGACUAUCUGUGCUAUACUUGCUUUUUAAAGAGCAAGUAACGUCUAAAUUAACUUUUUUUUUUUGCUGAUGAACUGUCUAAAUGAGUGUCUAGUGUUUUAAAUGUGUGCAUUCUUUAUUUUAGCAUUUUGGUGCAUUUUCUUUAACAAUUAAAUAUUCUGCCUAAAUACCACAGUAUAGCGCCACCUUCAGCUUAAAACAUAGAAUUUGACUCAUUUUGAAUAAAUUUUAGCCAAUGGCUAAAGAGUAAGAUACUACGUAAACCAGUAGAGUAUUACGUAGCAGCUCUGUGUCAAAGUUAUAAAAGCAACGAGCGUCUCGGCCACGCCUUGUGGCGAGUUGGGAGUUCGAUUUGCAAGCGAGUGUAGGAGGUUAGCGGUAGUUCAGCCUUAGCAUAUAGCAUUAGCAUAUCCUAGUCUUUAGCAUAGCUUUUAGUGUUAUAAAUACUUAUUUAGUGUUAGUUUGGCUGUUGGAUAUUGUAGUUUAGUUAGUGUUUGGCUUUUAGUGUAAUUGGGAAAGUAGUUCGGGUUUAGUGCUCCAUAUCGUGUUAGUAUUGGUGAGUAGGUGUAGUGUAAUAUGGUUGCGGUGGCUCUGUGGGCAUUUUACUCGCGAUUCUGCAUGUCUCCGUUUGAAGAGGGAGGCUGUGCCCACCGUGGCUCUUCCGCGAUUUAGAUGCAGCCCACCGACUCUGCUCCCCCACCACGGCGGGCUCCAGUCUGAGGUGAGUACGCUAAAUAAACGUUUUAACAUCUUCUAAAGACAAUUCCCUACCUAAAUGCAAAGUUGGAGAGACGUGGCUCACUUCCUUUAGCUAGUCAGUCGGAAAUUCUGCAACAGUGGCUCUAACCCCAGGUUUCCACGGGAGCCGUCAGCAGCACGUUACUGCAGCAGCACAUCUAGCUGCUGCUUGGCCCUUCCCACGAGACGCGAAGCAGCAGAGGAGCAGCUAUCACCGACGGAGCACGAAGUCACACGAGUGACUUCGUCAGUAAACACAACAACAAGCAGGAGAAAAUUACAACAUGGUUUGUGUUUUAUGUUCUGUCCGUUUUAUAAUCACCAAUACGGACCUGAAAAACAAAGGAGACCGCUAGCUAGGUGAUAACUUCUCACGGGGCCGCACAGUUAGUAACAUUUUUUAAAAGUAAAGCAACCGGAAGGCAGUACGUUCUUUAUUCUGAAAAUCUCGAGAUCUUCUCUCCAUUUCCGCGUCCGAUUUCCUGUCUUUCCUUCCCCAAAAAUUUCGAACUUGACCCGUUUCAGAGGCGUCGCGCGUAGAAAAUAGAACCGGCGCGUAAAGGCCGCGACAUGCUGCUCCUGAGACGCGGCCGACUCGCGCUGCUGACGGCUCCAGUGGAAAAGGUUCUGUUGACCACAGCGGUUCCUAUCAGCAGCUAUGACGUGCUGCUGCAGUAACGUGCUGCUGACGGCUCCUGUGGAAAGCCAGGGUAACUGACGCAGCACUAGUUGACACACAGCAUUACAGCGUGAAAUCCAGCUUGUGACCCGGUUCUGUAAGGAAUUCUGUUCAGGAGGUCGCAUUUCAGGCUCUCCACAUCAUGUGUGACUGACUUUUACGUUAUUACAACGAUCACACACUAGGAAUGUUAUAAAGCGCCUAUAUAGGACAGUUUCUUUUGUAUAUUAUCUGACUUUAUAAACUCCCAACAACAAUGUGCUUCUAUUUUUUUUUUUCAGGCUAAAUCUACCCAAGACACUGGCUGUCAGACUGAUUUAGCUGCAAGAAUGCACUUGUCCAGGCUGACGUGAAGCCUUACCUGUAGCAAAGCCAGCCAGAAUGGAGUUCACAGCCGCAGUGUGUCUGGUGACCCACAGGGACCAUGAUGGAAAUUCAUCUUCCAGAAAGUCCCAGAGCAGCGUCCACACCCCCUGAAAAGACCAAGAUGUAAGGUGUCUGCUGUUGAUUCCAGCUUCCACCUCAGUGACAGUGCAAGCUCAGUGAACUGUUCAAGGACAUUCAGCAAAAUAUGGACUCUACACCAUGAGGCAGGCACACAUUAAUAUUCUAUAAGCAUGAGGAUGUCCUCACACACCUGUAACUUAUCAGCUCAUCUGGCAGAAUAGAGAGAGAAGAGACAACACCACAUCUCCUGUUCCUGGAAAGCCUUCAGCCAUCCUUCGAUGACUGAGAACCUCCAUCAGCUCUGUCUCCUGUCUGCCUACAAUUAUUAUAAUAAAUAUUGUGUUUGACAAGUUUUUUUGUGCUGCCAAAUAUCUCAUAUAGAUUCCAGUUUUGAUAUUUUAAUGGAUAUUUAUAAAUUACAUUGAUUAUCACAUUUUUGUUGCAUGUUUAACUAGCUCUAUUGUGAUGAAUUAAACUAGCACCUCGAUGUUAAAAGCUCGUUUUAAUUUCAAGCAUGUUUAAGUAUUUAUGGACAUGAACAAAAACAGGAAAUAUAUAAAUUGAGAUUUAUUUAAUUAAUAUAACAAAUAAGGGGUAAAGAGUCAUUGAAAGGCACAUUCUUCUGGAAGCUCCUGAUCCUGACGACACCAGAGACCAGCUGCAGACACCAGAGGACCUAGAACCAAGAGAGCAGCUGUUAUCAGUAAAUAAAUAAAUCAGGGCAGUUUUAGUGGGCUGAACACAUUACAGAAUAAUUUUCUCAUGGGGUAUUUUCAUAACUUUGUAUGCAGCAGACUUUAACUUGAGCCCAGGGCUACCGGAGAGCUGCUAUCCAGCAUGUUUCAGUGGUUUUCCUGCUUUAACAGGUUAGAUUAGCUGUUAAGCAGCUCAGCUAUUUGUUGCUGAUUAAAACCAGGUGUGUUGAAGCAGAUAAACCUCUAAAACAUGCUGAAUACUAGCUUUUUAGGGCCGUGGAGCCGAACCCUGCAGCUAAUCCAAUGCUAUGGCUAACGGCUACUUACCAUUCAGAGCUGGUUCUGUUGGGUAUGUUCCGCUAGUUUCAGGCAACUCACAAGCUCAAAACAAUAAGGCUCAGGUCCGCUUGUCUCCUCCAAAUAGACUUGGUCCCUUUCUUCUCGAGUGUCUGGGUAAGGAGGGGGAGAAACGUCCUCCACUUCUAAUAACUGCUCAGAGUGAAGGGAGCUAGCUUCGUCUAGUUAGCCAUCGUCUUCGUCACUGCCGCGGCUCCGCCCUCUCAGUCCUCCAGGCAACGCCUACUAAUGUUGCAUUUUUAAAAAUUGAUACGUGGGUGGAGAAGGACUCCGAGGCUCAGUUGACCCGCUCUUUAACCUUGCUUGCGCCUUUGCUCCUAAAUUUGUUGCUGCACUCUAGUACUGGAGGAUUCUGCUAGGGGGCCCAGUAGAGUACUCAGACAGAAUAAAGAGCCAGGUUAGUGGGUAUAUUAAUGUCGAUGGGUACAACCACAAAUAAACUGUGUCCAAAUUCAGCAGUUACAUGUUCCCAAUCCCAAUACUCGUACUUCCACACUUGCUCCCUUCAACUCCACGAUCCCGACCAGCGGUGCAAGUGUAGGGUGUAGGAUUAGUUCAUGCUCUAAAAAAUUUUGACAGAACAGCAAUGAAUGUCAAAUUAUUUCAAUUUAUUGUUUGAUUGUUUGUUUGAAAGGGCUGCGCAGUGGCGCAGUGGUUAGAGCUGUUGCCUUGCAGGGAGAGGGUCCUGGGUUUGCUUCCUGGCCUGGGGUCUUACUGCAUGGAGUUUGCAUGUUCUCCCUGUGCAUGCGUGGGUUCUCCUCCCACAGUCCAAAAACAUGACUGUUAGGUUAAUUGGUCUGUCUAAGUUGUCCUUAGGAGUGAGUGUAUGUGUGAUUGUUUGUCCUGUGUGUCUGUGAUCCCCUGCGAUGGACUGGCUCUCUGUCCAGGGUGUACUCCGCCUGAUUGCCCAUUGACCGCUGGAGAUAGGCACCAGCCUCCCCCGUGACCCUGCGUGGACAGGCGGGUUCAGAAAAUGGAUGGAUGGAUGGAUGUUUGUAUGAAAGUUGUUAAUAAAGGGUUUUUUUUUAAGUCUCACAAUGACCAGCCUCCCUGCAUGCGUUGUGAUCGAUGGCGCAAUGCUCCCCAUCUCAAUUCGGCAAUUAUUUGCACAGUGUAUCAUGCACUCGAAGCCUUACAGUGCACUUUCUCCAAGUGCACUUUACUGAAGACUGCAGUGCGCAGUGCAAGUAUUGGGAUUGGGCCAUGCUCAUGAGUACCCUUCUGUGAAUUUGGACAGUCUAGCCUUAAAUAAUAGUCACGCCCCUACUUUGGCAGAUGUCCAACUGCUACUGUAGAAGCUGCAGAAAUGGAGCUCACACAUGUUUUAUACUUUUUCCUUGUUUUGUUAUUGUUUGAAGAGCUACAGCAGAUGUACCGCUGGAAUAUUUUGUAAGACGCAAUGAUAUGCUGUUAUAGUACUAUUUGCCUUUUUAAAGUCUAAAAGCUCCUAAGUUACCAAUUUCAUGACAACUUAAACUAGCUUCAUGAGUAAUUUGGGGUACUGAAAAACAUGAAAAGCUACUGUAUUUCAUAUCCAUCUGUGUGAUAUCCAACAGUGCAUCUCGGGCACUCUUUGAAUUUGGACGGUCUUCGUCAAGGCGCUGUGACGUCACUGGUCUUAAAAUCUGACCUGAUGAGCACGCAACCCCUGAAUUUGGACAGCCAUAGACAGGCUUCGAGUGCGUAGUCCACAAGUGUGCAAGUAAUUGCCAAAUUGGGACAGUAAGCAUUGCGUCAUCAACCACAACACAUGGCCAUCGCUGUUUGUGCUACUUUAAAAAAAAUCUUUAAACAAGCAAACAAUUUUGUGACAAAAUAUACAUUUAUAGCUGUUCACAUAAAAUCUUAGUCUGUAUCAGAGCGUGAAUAAAAAUUAUUAAUUGUCUUAAAAUGAACUUUCAUUGGAAAAUGCAUAUUUUCAGAAAAGGCUCUUGAGCCAUUGUUCCACCUUCUUGGAUUGUGGGUAAUAUCCUUCACACAAGUCCGCAUAGAUGCGGUCAACGUUCACACGUGAGGAUCAGGACACCCUA